CAGCGCCACGAGUGGUAACCGCGAUUAUUGGGCCUAAAGCGUCCGUAGCCGGUUAAGUAAAUCUUUUGUGAAAUCGUCGGGCUUAACUCGACGGCGUGCAGAAGAGACUGCUUAACUAGGGACCGGGAGGAGUCAGAAGUAUUCCGGGGGGAGCGGUAAAAUGCUAUAAUCCUCGGAAGACUACCUGUGGCGAAGGCGUCUGACCAGAACGGAUCCGACGGUGAGGGACGAAAGCCAGGGGAGCGAAACGGAUUAGAUACCCGAGUAGUCC
rnacentral:rRNA from 1 species